rnacentral:tRNA from 1 species
UCCCCGGUGGUGUAAUGGCAGCACAACGGUCUCUGGAACCGUUGGUCUUGGUUCGAGUCCAGGCUGGGGAGC